UACAUGCAAGUCGAACGCAGUCGACCUUCGGGUCAUAUGACUGAGUGGCGAACGGGUGAGUAACACGUGAGAAACCUGCCCCGAAGACUGGAAUAACCCGAGGAAACUCGGGCUAAUACCGGAUGUCCCCAGAUGGCCGCAUGGCCGACUGAGGAAAUGCUCCGGCGCUUUGGGAGGGUCUCGCGGCCUAUCAGCUUGUUGGUGAGGUAACGGCUCACCAAGGCUUCGACGGGUAGCUGGUCUGAGAGGACGAUCAGCCACACUGGGACUGAGAUACGGCCCAGACUCCUACGGGAGGCAGCAGUAGGGAAUCUUGCGCAAUGGGCGAAAGCCUGACGCAGCCACGCCGCGUGAGUGAUGAAGGCCUUCGGGUCGUAAAGCUCUUUCAGCAGGGACGAAAAUGACGGUACCUGCAGAAGAAGCCCCGGCCAACUACGUGCCAGCAGCCGCGGUAACACGUAGGGGGCAAGCGUUGUCCGGAUUUAUUGGGCGUAAAGGGCUCGUAGGCUGUUCAGUAAGUCAGGUGUGAAAACUCGAGGCUCAACCUCGAGAUGCCACUUGAUACUGCUGUGACUAGAGUUCGGUAGAGGAGUGUGGAAUUCCUAGUGUAGCGGUGAAAUGCGCAGAUAUUAGGAGGAACACCAACAGCGAAGGCAGCACUCUGGGCCGAUACUGACGCUGAGGAGCGAAAGCGUGGGGAGCGAACAGGAUUAGAUACCCUGGUAGUCCACGCCGUAAACGGUGGGCACUAGAUGUGGGAUCCAGUCAACGGAUUCCGCGUCGUAGCUAACGCAUUAAGUGCCCCGCCUGGGGAGUACGGCCGCAAGGCUAAAACUCAAAGGAAUUGACGGGGGCCCGCACAAGCGGCGGAGCAUGUUGCUUAAUUCGAGGCAACGCGAAGAACCCUUACCUGGGUUUGACAUGUAGGGAAAGCCAUAGAGAUAUGUGUCCUUUAGGGCCUUACACAGUGUGCAUGGCCUGUCGUCAGCUCGUGUCGUGAGAUGUGGUAGUCCCGCACGAGCCGCAACCUUGUCCUAUGUUUGCAGCGUAUGCCGGGACUCGUAGAGACUGCUGGUCACUCGAGGAGGUGGGAACGACGUCAAGUCAUCAUGCCCUAUGGCCAGGCUGCAACAUGCUACAUGGCCGGUACAGAGGCUGCUUUACGCGGAGGUGAACCAUCCCACAAGGCCGUUCCAUUCUGGAUAGGACCUGCCUACUCAAC
rnacentral:rRNA from 1 species